rnacentral:rRNA from 1 species
CUGGCUCAGGACGAACGCUGGCGGCGUGCCUAACACAUGCAAGUCGAGCGAGGAGAUCCUUCGGGAUGAUCCUAGCGGCGGACGGGUGAGUAACACGUGGGCAACCUGCCUCAUAGAGAGGAAUAGCCUUCCGAAAGGGAGAUUAAUACCUCAUAACAUUGCAGUUUCGCAUGGAACAGCAAUUAAAGGAGUAAUCCGCUAUGAGAUGGGCCCGCGGCGCAUUAGCUAGUUGGUGAGGUAACGGCUCACCAAGGCGACGAUGCGUAGCCGACCUGAGAGGGUGAUCGGCCACAUUAGGACUGAGACACGGCCCAGACUCCUACGGGAGGCAGCAGUGGGGAAUAUUGCACAAUGGGGGAAACCCUGAUGCAGCCAACGCCGCGUGAGUGAUGACGGCCUUCGGGUUGUAAAGCUCUGUCUUCAGGGACGAUAAUGACGGUACCUGAGGAGGAAGCCACGGCUAACUACGUGCCAGCAGCUGC